CCUACGGGAGGCAGCAGUGAGGGAUAUUGGUCAAUGGGGGAAACUCUGAACCAGCAACGCCGCGUGAGGGAAGACGGUUUUCGGAUUGUAAACCUCCGUCCUCUGUGAAGAUAACGACGGUAGCAGAGGAGGAAUCUACGGCUAACUACGUGCCAGCAGCCGGGGCUACACGUAGGGAGCGAUCGUUGUCCGGAUUUACUGGGUGUAAAGGGUGCGUAGGCGGGUAAGCAAGUCAGAAGUGAAAUCCAUGGGCUUAACCCAUGAACUGCUUUUGAAACUGUUGAUCUGGAGUGAAGUAGAGGUAGGCGGAAUUCCCGGUGUAGCGGUGAAAUGCGUAGAGAUCGGGAGGAACACCAGUGGCGAAGGCGGCCUACUGGGCUUUAACUGACGCUGAAGCACGAAAGCGUGGGUAGCAAACAGGAUUAGAUACCCGAGUAGUC
rnacentral:rRNA from 1 species